AGAGUUUGAUCAUGGCUCAGAAUCAACGCUGGCGGCGCGCCUAACACAUGCAAGUCGAACGAGAAAGUGGAGCAAUCCAUGAGUACAGUGGCGUACGGGUGAGUAACACGUGGGUGAUCUACCUUUUAGUGAGGAAUAACCGAGGGAAACUUUGGCUAAUACCGCAUAAGCCCGAGAGGGGAAAGCAGAAAUGCGCUGAAAGAGGAGCCCGCGGCCGAUUAGCUAGUUGGUAGGGUAAGAGCCUACCAAGGCAGAGAUCGGUAGCCGGCCUGAGAGGGCACACGGCCACACUGGCACUGAAACACGGGCCAGACUCCUACGGGAGGCAGCAGUGGGGAAUCUUGCACAAUGGGGGAAACCCUGAUGCAGCGACGCCGCGUGAGCGAUGAAGCCCUUCGGGGUGUAAAGCUCUUUCGUCAGGGAAGAUAGUGACGGUACCUGGAGAAGCAGCUGCGGCUAACUACGUGCCAGCAGCCGCGGUAAUACGUAGGCAGCAAGCGUUGUUCGGAGUUACUGGGCGUAAAGGGUGUGUAGGCGGUUCUUUAAGUUUGCUGUGAAAUCUCCCGGCUUAACCGGGAGGGUGCGGUGAAUACUGAGGGACUAGAGUACGGGAGAGGAAAGUGGAAUUCCUGGUGUAGCGGUGAAAAUGCGUAGAUAUCAGGAGGAACACCGGUGGUGUAGACGGCUUUCUGGACCGUAACUGACGCUGAGACACGAAAGCGUGGGUAGCAAACAGGAUUAGAUACCCCGGUAGUCC
rnacentral:rRNA from 1 species